UACGUAGGCAGCAAGCGUUGUUCGGAGUUACUGGGCGUAAAGAGUGCGUAGGCGGUUCUCUAAGUUUGGUGUGAAAUCUCCCGGCUCAACUGGGAGGGUGCGCCGAAAACUGGAGGGCUUGAGUGUGGGAGAGGCAAGCGGAAUUCCUGGUGUAGCGGUGAAAUGCGUAGAUAUCAGGAGGAACACCUGUGGCGAAAGCGGCUCACUGGACCAUAACUGACGCUGAUGCACGAAAGCUAGGGGAGCAAGCAGG
rnacentral:rRNA from 1 species